AACUACACAUAAGAGGUCCUGCCUGCCCUGUGACCCCUGGUUCAACGGCCGCGGUAUUUUGACCGUGCAAAGGUAGCGCAAUCACUUGUCUCUUAAAUGAGGACCUGUAUGAAUGGCACAACGAGGGCUUAACUGUCUCCUUUUCCCGGUCAGUGAAAUUGAUCUUCCCGUGCAGAAGCGGGAAUCCUAACAUAAGACGAGAAGACCCUAUGGAGCUUUAGACUUUCGAACAGAUCAUGUAAGCUACCCCCAUGAAAUGGGUAAUAACUAUUGAAUUCCUGUUCUCCUGUCUUUGGUUGGGGCGACCACGGGGAAGAAAAAAACCCCCAUGUGGACCAGGAGCACAUUACUCCUACAACCAUGAGCCACAGCUCUAAUGCACAAAACCUUUGACCAUUAGAUCCGGCAAAGCCGAUCAACGGACCAAGUUACCCUAGGGAUAACAGCGCAAUCCCCUUUAAGAGUCCAUAUCGACAAGGGGGUUUACGACCUCGAUGUUGGAUCAAGACAUCCUAAUGGUGCAGCCGGUAUUAAGGGUUCGUUUGUUCAACGAUUAAAGUCUU
rnacentral:rRNA from 1 species